UUCAAAAUAUUAACCAGUACCUUCUCGUAAGAUAAAUUCUCCUAAAGUGGAAGUGACUUGUAAGACAAGACAUGUGAGCGGUCAGAGUUAUACUUGCGUAACAUUAACACAUAAAAGAGUUAUAUACUCUGGAUAGUUUUGGAGAUAGUGCUUGUCUGUAGGCGGAUACUCUAAUGUUGUCCAAAAUCUCAAAUGGUCUGAUGAAUCGGGGGUUCGACUUUUUCUUCUUCCCAAACCUGGUGAUAC
rnacentral:lncRNA from 1 species